GAUGAACGCUGGCGGCGUGCCUAAUACAUGCAAGUCGAGCGAAUGGAUUAAGAGCUUGCUCUUAUGAAGUUAGCGGCGGACGGGUGAGUAACACGUGGGUAACCUGCCCAUAAGACUGGGAUAACUCCGGGAAACCGGGGCUAAUACCGGAUAACAUUUUGAACCGCAUGGUUCGAAAUUGAAAGGCGGCUUCGGCUGUCAAUUAUGGAUGGACCCGCGUCGCAUUAGCUAGUUGGUGAGGUAACGGCUCACCAAGGCAACGAUGCGUAGCCGACCUGAGAGGGUGAUCGGCCACACUGGGACUGAGACACGGCCCAGACUCCUACGGGAGGCAGCAGUAGGGAAUCUUCCGCAAUGGACGAAAGUCUGACGGAGCAACGCCGGGUGAGUGAUGAAGGCUUUCGGGUCGUAAAACUCUGUUGUUAGGGAAGAACAAGUGCUAGUUGAAUAAGCUGGCACCUUGACGGUACCUAACCAGAAAGCCACGGCUAACUACGUGCCAGCAGCCGCCGUAA
rnacentral:rRNA from 1 species